UACAGAGGUCCCAAGCGUUGUUCGGAUUCACUGGGCGUAAAGGGUGCGUAGGUGGUGAGGUAAGUCGGAUGUGAAAGCUCGGAGCUCAACUCCGAAAUGGCAUUGGAAACUACCUUGCUCGAGGGUUGGAGGGGGGGACUGGAAUACUUGGUGUAGCAGUGAAAUGCGUAGAUAUCAAGUGGAACACCAGUGGCGAAGGCGAGUCCCUGGACAACUCCUGACACUGAGGCACGAAAGCUAGGGGAGCAAACAGG
rnacentral:rRNA from 1 species